AUUGAACGCUAGCGGCAGGCCUAACACAUGCAAGUCGAACGAGUGGCGGACGGGUGAGUAAUGUCUGGGAAACUGCCUGAUGGAGGGGGAUAACUACGGGAAACGGUAGCUAAUACCGCAUACCAUCAGAUGUGCCCAGAUGGGCUUAGCUUGUUGGUUGGGUAACGGCUCACCAAGGCUACGAUCCAUAGCUGGUCUGAGAGGAUGACCAGCCACAAUGGAACUGAGACACGGUCCAGACUCCUACGGGAGGCAGCAGUGGGGAAUAUUGGACAAUGGGCGAAAGACUGAUGCAGCCAUGCCGCGUGUAUGAAGAAGGCCUUCGGGUUGUAAAGUACUUUUAGCGGGGAGGCGUUAUCUGCAGAAGAAGCACCGGCUAACUCCGUGCCAGCAGCCGCGGUAAUUC
rnacentral:rRNA from 1 species